AUGACUUUGAUCUCCGUCCUCAUCUGGACUCUCCUCUGCUGCUGCUUCACAGAGUCCAGAGGCCAGGUCACAGUGACUCAGCCUGGAGCAGUGAGCUCUGCUCUGGGAGGCUCCGUCUCCAUCAGCUGUAGGACCAGUCAGAGUAUUUCUUCUAACUAUUUAGCCUGGUACCAACAGAGAGAUGGAGAAACUCCUAAACUGCUCAUUAAAUAUAUUAGCACUCGACAAUCAGGGAUUCCAGAUCGUUUUACAGGCAGUGGAUCAAACUCUGACUUCACUCUGACCAUCAGUGGAGUCCAGACUGAAGAUGCAGCAGUUUACUACUGUCAGAGUCUUCAUCUCAUCAACAGCCAGUGGGUGUCCACACAGUGAAAAAGCGUCGUACAA